UCACAUUUAUUGUAAAUAACAAUAGAAUAUGGUUCUAAACACUUCUACAUUCAUGUGGAUGCUACCAUGAUUACGGAUAAUCCUGAAUGAAUCGUGAAUAAUGAGUGAGAAAGUUCACCCGAUAUGAAUGAAAAUACCCUCAAAUUAAACAUAACAGUCUGCACUUUAACCUCAUCGUCAUUGUAUCAUUUCAAAUCCAAAGUGCUGGAGUACAGAGCCAAAACAACAAAAAAUGUGUCACUGUUCCAAUACUUUUGGAGCUCACUGUAUAUAUAAUAUAUGACCUGUGCAUCUCAUUCCACUAGUGGAUUCCAAAAAACUGUCUACUGGACUGUGUAUACUUGUGGGAGUGGCCCCUACCCCUAACCUAACAUCCGAGUUAUUUUCUUACUAUGUUAGCCAAAAGGAUUUCAGCAGAACCCCCUGCUCCCCCUCUACUCUCCCUCCCUCCACCCCUCCACAUCACGCUUAAUUUAAACCCAUGGCUGAGUUAGUGUGCUGCUUGAAAUACCACACUAUUUCUCCCAGAACCCUGUGGGAGAUUGGCGGGUCCCGGCUGGACUGAGCGAAAGAGAAAAAGUGCCACAAGACAAAAAUAUCAGACUUUGGGACGUGAUGAAGAAAGCCUUUAUACUGCGAGAAACAAAAAACUGCUUGUGUUGCAAUGCACACCUCCUAGGAUUGAAGAGGUAUUCCCCCUCGUUCUGGACCAGUGCUACCUCCAGACCAUUGACUGCAUCCAGAAACUAAAGUCAACAACCCAAGCUGUGAACGCAGAGGUUAAAGUUAGCCAUCAGUAUUUGAGGGAUACUGUGUAUGUGUGCGUGUGUGAACAUUUCUCUAGGCCCUGAAAACGAACGGACAGUAAUGUGUGCCCCUCUAUGAGUCCAUUCAUUCCCACUGUAGCAACUUUCUCAUUUACAUGCAAUGGAAAGAAAAUAAACACGCUGCUUCAGCUGACUCCUAAUCUGUUCGUUUACAGUAAGUAGGGAGGAAAGCGAGCCAAGGCCGUGGUUUUACAACAAAGGUGUAGGCUACACUGUAACAGAAAACUCAUUUAUAAGGUAUUGUUAGGUAAUUAUCAACAGUGAAAAGAACUAACGUUGCUGUAUGCUGUAAAUUAUGGUGCAUUGUGG
rnacentral:lncRNA from 1 species